rnacentral:rRNA from 1 species
AGUGAACGCUGGCGGUAGGCCCAACACAUGCAAGUCGAACGGCAGCACAGUAAGAGCUUGCUCUUACGGGUGGCGAGUGGCGGACGGGUGAGGAAUACAUCGGAAUCUACUUUUUCGUGGGGGAUAACGUAGGGAAACUUACGCUAAUACCGCAUACGACCUACGGGUGAAAGCAGGGGAUCUUCGGCCCUUGCGCGAUUGAAUGAGCCGAUGUCGGAUUAGCUAGUUGGCGGGGUAAAGGCCCACCAAGGCGACGAUCCGUAGCUGGUCUGAGAGGAUGAUCAGCCACACUGGAACUGAGACACGGUCCAGACUCCUACGGGAGGCAGCAGUGGGGAAUAUUGGACAAUGGGCGCAAGCCUGAUCCAGCCAUACCGCGUGGGUGAAGAAGGCCUUCGGGUUGUAAAGCCCUUUUGUUGGGAAAGAAAAGCAGCAGGUUAAUACCCCGCUGUUCUGACGGUACCCAAAGAAUAAGCACCGGCUAACUUCGUG